CAAUUUGCAGGGCCAUUCAAAUUUUAAGUUUUUUUGUAAUCUGAACUAAUGUUGUCAAGAAUUUCUCAGUUUGACAUUUCUUGAAUGGUGUAUAUUGGUUUAUCCUUUCAUUUUUUUUUUUUGUAUAAAUGUGUCUAUUCAUGAGCAAUUUGCUCUUAAUUUUCCUUUUGAUCUUCCUUUUGUUUCUUGCUAGGUUAUUACAGGGAUGGAUGGUAAUUUUUUUGGAAAAGGGUGUAACUUUCUGGCUGGAGUAUUACAGCAAAUGAAAGCUAUAAAUAGACUAAUUUAUGUUAUUUCCAAUUGGGCUAUGAUGAUAUAAUUUUGGUUUCUUUAGAUGUAUUUCAGGUUUUAAAUUGAUUGCCAUAUCUUGGUGAGGCAACCCUGAUGUCAUUUGGCUUUCAUUCUCCCCUUGAAAUGCAAUUGGGUCUGCAGCCAUGGCGAGAGCUAUGCCAGAAAUUCUCAGCUUGAUUGAGCUGCACGACUAUGAAGCUUAAACAAUUAGUGAUGGCAAUUUUCUAGAAGCACUGAAAUUAAUGAACUUUACUCGAGAUGGGUUCAAAGUGAACUACAUGAGCACUAUUGCAUAGUUCCAACAGAAUUGGCU